UCCUCCAACAAGGCCAUACUUUCUAAUAGU
rnacentral:piRNA from 1 species